CCUGGGGGACGCAGUUCCGAGCUCGGGUCUGAAAGAAAAGAACCGGAGCAUUAACUCAGCUACUCGCCUUCUUUUUAUCGGUGCUUCGCUGGCACGAUUUUAAAAAGAAGUUUACUUGCAGAGGAAGAAAGGCCAUUUCCUUCUCUUUACCAGCCCACGGUAAGACACAUCUUACAGUCAGUUCCUCCCAGAAGCAGCCACCACCAUCCAGGAGCCUCCAGCAGCACUCAGUGCAACAAUUCUAGAUCAAAUGGUUUCCAUUUCAGCGGCUCAAAGAAAAUAGCGCAAUCCAGAAAUAGUAUUAACAUCCAUGACUGCUCUGGCGGGGAUUACUGAAGCGCAGUCAUUCUAGCAUUUAUCAGUAUGCAAUCUUCAUUUCCAUAGUCAUCUGAAUUGGUCUUACUCUGUCUUAACUCGGCCUGACAUAGACUAUUUGCAAAACUAAGUAUAAAGCUGAGUAAUCUUGGACAAUAAUUAAAAUAGACACUUACAUAGAUGCUAGAACUAAACAGCAAAUGCUUUUUUUUUUUUUUUUUUUUUUUUUAAUAAGUUUAUCUGGUAUGAAACUGCUGUAACUAACUUCUUUUGAACAUUUCCCUGUGGUUUUGUGCAUUGUAUCGCCAGUCACUGAAUCUGAGGCUUUGGUAUAAACAUAAAUUCUCCUCAUUGAACGUUCACAGCUCCGGUGAAGAUCAGUCUUGGGACAUGCAAGGCGUUGUCCAGUAGGGAGCCUACCUGGAACAGCUGAAAUAAAAACUUUUCAUUUUCCUGCAAUGCCAAAGCCAUACACUGCAGAAAAAAAACCCUACACA